rnacentral:rRNA from 1 species
AUGGGCACCUCUUGGGAUCCUGGCGGACCGACAUGCUUGAUGUUACUGGAAUUGACUCGACAAGCGUCCUAUGAAGGAGGGAGGAGCGUCAUCAUUGUCGUCAUCGUCUUCACACAAAGCUCCAUCGACUGCAAGUGCUACCUCGACUUCAACCGCGACGGUGCCGACAACGACUACGACGCCUUCUUCGACGGGAUUUUCAUCGGCCACAACAACUACCUCUCCAUCGUUGCAGUCUACCUCGACUUCAGCUACCGCAACGGCUCCAACCAAGCCUGGGAACAUCGAGCGCCAUGGGAUCCAGGAGAUCCUCGGCGGCGUUGGCUUGAGGUCAAGCCGAGUCUCAUCCAGGGAGGGAUGUCGGUGACUAGAUCGUGCCGGGUCCUCAAGUCAGCGAAGAAGCAACGCGCGGUGCACGACCGAGCAUGUGCUCCCGUCCCCCAGAUACUCGCUACCGGCUUGAGGGCAAGCCGGCUUUCAAGGGGGAGGGGAUGUCAGCCCCCUUUCCAGUCAUGGGCUGAGAGUGAUGGGCUAGGCCCAGCCGGCUCCCUACGGCAACAACUACAAGUAGGAGGGCCAAAGCAUCAGGCGAAGGUAUCCGCGUAG